GGGGAUCAUAUCUUCCAGACAGCCAUUACAUGGGCAGCUGUCUUUCUCUCUAUAGUACUCUCUAUAAUACUACGUAGGGACCUGAACACUAGUGGAAUUAGACAGGGCAGAAAAAGACAUAAGAAUAUGAUAAACACUACUCCUCCUACUAAUGUCUUAAUUCCUCCAAGCUGCUCAUACCAGCUUCCAAACCAACUACUU